rnacentral:misc_RNA from 1 species
GAUGAAGAACGCAGCGAAAUGCGAUAAGUAAUGUGAAUUGCAGAAUUCAGUGAAUCAUCGAAUCUUUGAACGCACAUUGCGCCCGCCAGUAUUCUGGCGGGCAUGCCUGUUCGAGCGUCAUUUCAACCAUCAAGCCCCCGGCUUGUGUUGGGGACCUGCGGCUGCCGCAGGCCCUGAAAAGCAGUGGCGGGCUCGCUGUCACACCGAGCGUAGUAAUACAUCUCGCUCAGGGCGUGCUGCGGGUUCCGGCCGUUAAAAAGCCUUAUUUACCCAAGGUUGACCUCGGAUCAGGUAGGAAGACCCGCUGAACUUAAGCAUAUCAAUAAGCGGAGGA